UCGAGAAUUUUUCACAAUGGACGAAAGUCUGAUGGAGCGACGCCGCGUGGAGGAUGAAGGUUCUUGGAUUGUAAACUCCUGUCACUGCAGAACAAGGGUAGCAAAUUGAAUAUUUUUGCUAUUUGAUGGUAUGCGGAGAGGAAGGGACGGCUAACUCUGUGCCAGCAGCCGCGGUGAGACAGAGGUCCCGAGCGUUGUUCGGAUUCAUUGGGCGUAAAGGGUGUGUAGGAGGUCAGGUAAGUCGUGUGUGAAAUCUCAGAGCUUAACUCUGAAACUGCGCUCGAUACUGCUUGGCUAGAGGAUCGGAGGGGGUAACGGAAUUCAUGGUGUAGCAGUGAAAUGCGUAGAUAUCAUGAGGAACACCGGUGGCGAAGGCGGUUACCUGGAAGAUUCCUGACUCUGAAACACGAAAGCCAGGGGAGCAAACGGGAUUAGAUACCCCCGUAGUCC
rnacentral:rRNA from 1 species